GUAAUAACCUAGGCAAAAAGUCACUGAAGAGAACUCUUAAAAAUUGUGGUAAGGAUACUGAAGUGUUGCUUUCCGCCUGGGAUGUCUUCUGUCAGGGAAGAGGGUGGGGAAGGACUGAGUUCUCUUUAAGGGGCUGGUCACCAGGAGUUUGAUCAUGCUCCAGUGAACAUAAGGACCACAUAAAUUGGACUUGG